rnacentral:misc_RNA from 1 species
UGGGGACUAUGCCUACUCGAAAGGGUAAGUUUCCUUCCUAGAGAAAGAAGCACAAUAUGGAUCUUAUCAUGCUCAGGAUUUUGUUGUAUUAUUACUUUCGUUAUGUGUUUGAUCUAUUUAACAUGUCCGAUAUUAUUAUGCAUGUAGCUGGCUGCUCCAAGUGAAUUGCCAUUCAAUUCUGCCUAUAGAUGAAUUUCAAUAUGAUACCUAUUAAGUAAUAUUAAGUAUUGCUUUAAGGGAAACAAUUUUUGUGCUUGCUUUAUCAUUUAAGGUUUUGUAGCCUCUUUUGAUUUGUGGACGAAGAUUUGAUUUCAUCAUGAUCGCACCAAACUCUUGCCUGAGUUUGUCAUUCCAUACUUUUGAGAUAAUCAAGGGAAUGCAUGUUUAGUUAGAUCAGAGAAGGAUUUUAUUGGAUUGAACUUUUCUUUACUGCAGCAACAACAUUAAAUGCCCAUCUG